CUCAUCUGUCUAUUGGGCUGGGGGCAGGGCCUUUGUGAAGGCGGGUUAUGCUCGGAUCGCCUCUGGGCCCUUCCUCCAGUCCCGAGGCAGGUUUA
ensembl:miRNA Mir326 microRNA 326